CCUACGGGGGGCAGCAGUGAGGAAUAUUGGUCAAUGGGCGCAAGCCUGAACCAGCCAAGUCGCGUGAGGGAUGACGGUCCUAUGGAUUGUAAACCUCUUUUGUCGGGGAGCAAGGCCCGCCACGUGUGGCGGGAAGGAGAGUACCCGAAGAAAAAGCAUCGGCUAACUCCGUGCCAGCAGCCGCGGUAAUACGGAGGGGGCAAGCGUUAUCCGGAUUUACUGGGUGUAAAGGGAGCGUAGACGGCGAUGCAAGCCAGAUGUGAAAGCCCGCGGCUAAACUGCGGUAGUGCGUUUGGAAUUGGAUGGGUGGAGUGCAGGAGAGGCAGGCGGAAUUCCUGGUGUAGCGGUGAAAUGCGUAGAUAUUAGGAGGAACACCAGUGGCGAAGGAGGCCUGCUGGACUGUAACUGACGUUGAGGCUCGAAAGUGCGGGUAUCAAACAGGAUUAGUACCCGGGUAGUC
rnacentral:rRNA from 1 species